UUUCCCCAGGGUGACAAAGGCUCGCCCGGAGCACCUGGGCCCUCGGGUGCCAAGGGGGAGCCCGGAGCGCCUGGUCCGGACGGGCCCCCGGGGAAGCCAGGCAUCGACGGCCUGACCGGAGCAAAAGGGGAACCGGGACCCGUUGGCGGGCCAGGAAUUAAAG